AUUCUGAGUCCAAGCACAGAAGGCAAGCAACUUGGUUUGGACUUGGAUUUGCAGAUGGGAGAACCGAGAUACUGCAGUCAGAGGAGCUGGCACUUUAUUUUYAGGGAGAGCAGCAGUGGCAUGAAGGGAAACAGCAUAAUGGCACAGAGCA